GCCAGACUCCUACGGGAGGCAGCAGUGGGGAAUAUUGCACAAUGGGGGAAACCCUGAUGCAGCGACGCCGCGUGAGUGAAGAAGUAUUUCGGUAUGUAAAGCUCUAUCAGCAGGAAAGAAAAUGACGGUACCUGACUAAGAAGCCCCGGCUAACUACGUGCCAGCAGCCGCGGUAAUACGUAGGGGGCAAGCGUUAUCCGGAUUUACUGGGUGUAAAGGGAGCGCAGGCGGCCUUGCAAGUCUGAUGUGAAAGGCCGGGGCCCAACCCCGGGACUGCAUUGGAAACUGUGCGGCUUGAGUGCGGGAGGGGCAGGCGGAAUUCCUAGUGUAGCGGUGAAAUGCGUAGAUAUUAGGAGGAACACCGGCGGCGAAGGCGGCCUGCUGGACCGUAACUGACGUUGAGGCUCGAAAGCGUGGGGAGCAAACAGGAUUAGAUACCCGGGUA
rnacentral:rRNA from 1 species